rnacentral:rRNA from 1 species
CCUGGGUUUGACAUUAUAGGUUGUAGGGAACUGAAAGGGACCGACCCUUCGGGGAGCCUAUACAGGUGUUGCAUGGCUGUCGUCAGCUCGUGUCGUGAGAUGUUCGGUUAAGUCCGCUAACGAGCGCAACCCUCGUCGUAUGUUAUAUGUGUCAUACGAGACUGCCGGUAAAAGCCGGAGGAAGGUGAGGAUGAUGUCAAGUCAGCAUGACCUUUAUAUCCAGGGCUACACACACGCUACAAUGGUCUGUACAAUGGGUAGCCAAGCCGCGAGGCGGAGCCAAUCCUGAAAGCAGGCCUCAGUUCAGAUUGCAGUCUGCAACUCGACUGCAUGAAGCCGGAGUUGCUAGUAACCGCAGGUCAGCAAUACUGCGGUGAAUACGUUCCCGGGUCUU